rnacentral:rRNA from 1 species
UACGUAGGGGGCAAGCGUUGUCCGGAAUCAUUGGGCGUAAAGAGCGCGUAGGCGGUCCGAUAAGUCGGUUGUGAAAACUGGGGGCUCAACCCUCAGAGGCCGACCGAUACUGUCGGGCUAGAGUCCGGAAGAGGCGAGUGGAAUUCCUGGUGUAGCGGUGAAAUGCGCAGAUAUCAGGAGGAACACCGGUGGCGAAGGCGGGUCUCUGGGCAGUAACUGACGCUGAGGAGCGAAAGCGUGGGGAGCGAACAGG